UACGGAGGGUGCAAGCGUUGCUCGGAAUUAUUGGGCGUAAAGGGCAGGUAGGUGGUCUUAUUUGUCAGGGGUGAAAGCCUUGGGCUCAACUCAAGAAGUGCCCCUGAAACGGUAAGACUAGAGUCUUGGAGAGGGUCGUGGAAUUCCCGGUGUAGCGGUGAAAUGCGUAGAGAUCGGGAGGAACACCAGUGGCGAAGGCGGUUGCCUGGAGCUUUGCUGACGCUGAUGCGCGAAAGCGUGGGGAGCGAUCCGG
rnacentral:rRNA from 1 species